rnacentral:rRNA from 1 species
UACGUAGGGGGCAAGCGUUGUCCGGAAUUAUUGGGCGUAAAGAGCGUGUAGGCGGCCAGAUAGGUCCGUUGUGAAACUCGAGGCUCAACCUCGAGCUGUCGAUGGAAACCAUCUGGCUAGAGUCCGGAAGAGGAGAGUGGAAUUCCCGGUGUAGCGGUGAAAUGCGCAGAUAUCGGGAAGAACACCCGUGGCGAAGGCGGCUACUCGUGGGACGGUACUGACGCUGAGACGCGAAAAGCGUGGGGGACGAACAGGG